GACGAACGCUGGCGGCGUGCUUAACACAUGCAAGUCGAACGGAAAGGCCCUGCUUUUGUGGGGUGCUCGAGUGGCGAACGGGUGAGUAACACGUGAGUAACCUGCCCUUGACUUUGGGAUAACUUCAGGAAACUGGGGCUAAUACCGGAUAGGAGCUCCUGCUGCAUGGUGGGGGUUGGAAAGUUUCGGCGGUUGGGGAUGGACGCGCGGCUUAUCAGCUUGUUGGUGGGGUAGUGGCUUACCAAGGCUUUGACGGGUAGCCGGCCUGUGAGGGUGACCGGCCACAUUGCGACUGAGAUACGGCCCAGACUCCUACGGGAGGCAGCAGUGGGGAAUAUUGCACAAUGGGCGGAAGCCUGAUGCAGCAACGCCGCGUGCGGGAUGACGGCCUUCGGGUUGUAAACCGCUUUCGCCUGUGACGAAGCGUGAGUGACGGUAAUGGGUAAAGAAACACCGGCUAACUACGUG
rnacentral:rRNA from 1 species